rnacentral:rRNA from 1 species
CCCUUAGAUGUUCUGGGCUGCACGCGCGCUACACUGACAUACUCAGCAAGUUUCCUUUCCCGAAAGGUCUGGGUAAUCUCCAAAUUUCGUCGUGAUGGGGAUAGAUUAUUGCAAUUAUUAAUCUUCAACGAGGAAUGCCUAGUAAGCGCAAGUCAUCAGCUUGCGUUGAUUACGUCCCUGCCCUUUGUACACACCGCCCGUCGCUCCUACCGAUUGAAUGGUCCGGUGAAGCGUUCGGACCGUGGCCUUUGGACGGUUCGCCGUCUGUUGGCUGCGGGAAGUUCGUUAAACCUUAUCAUUUAGAGGAAGGAGAAGUCGUAACA